rnacentral:rRNA from 1 species
GAGGACACUGUUGGGACCGCCUCUGCUAAAGAGGAGGAAGGAAUGGGCAACGGUAGGUCAGCAUGCCCCGAAUUAUCCGGGCUACACGCGGGCUACAAUGGUCAGGGCAAUGGGAAAAGGCACUGAAAAGUGUAGUCAAUCUCCUAAACCUGUCCCAAGUUCGGAUUGUGGGCUGCAACUCGCCCACAUGAAGCUGGAAUCCGUAGUAAUCGCGUUUCAAAAUAGCGCGGUGAAUAAGUCCCUGCUCCUUGCACACACCGCCCGUCGAACCAUCUUAGUGAGGUUUGGAUGAGGCUGUGGUUAACUGCCACAGUCGAAUCUAGGUUUCGCAAGGAGGGUUAAGUCGUAACAAG